CCUGUUUAAGAAUAGGACAAAAGUAUCCACUUAUUACAGUCUUUACAAGUGAAUUAAAAUAAUUAAUAGGGUUAUUUUUAAUUUGUUAGUGUUUGAGGAGGCGUUACCGUGCGAGCUGCUGCUGUUUAUAUGAAGAGAGAAGGGGUCUCUCUACACAAGCCUCACCUCUUGUAGGUUUAAACCACUGCUGAAUAGCUUGAAGCCUGGAUCAAAUCAGGAACUACUCCUGGGAGGAACGUAAUUGCCCUAAUUGUGGUUCUGCUGUUGCUGUAGCUGUAGAAACUGCAAUUGAGAUCUUUAUUACUUGAAGUUGGGGAGGACCAGCCCUCUCUUUCUUUUUAGAGCUAACAUCUUAACCUUACCAUAGAAGAGUAGCCAUUUAGAUGGAAGACACCAUCUAAAGCCUUUCUAAACUAAUUUCCUCCAGGAUAUUGGCUGGUUUAUUAGUGAUCUAGGAAGAGAUAACUAAUUCCUGUCACCACUGCAGUUCAUGAGCCUUUGGUAUUUAUUCUUCAAUCUGUAACUCUCCAAUUUGACGCUACAGCUUUUUUUUUUCCUCCUAAACAUUCAAUAGCCCUUACAUAUGGAAAGACUGUGCAGAGAAAUGAAAUUCGACUCUCUUACCUUUGAAAUAAGGGAACAUAAUUUACAGGAAAAAUAGGGAGGAAAUAAUGUUAAAAACAAACAAAAACUAUGAAACAAAAAUAAAGCGUACUACUUUUAUAUGAGAGUGUGACUAGGUUCAUGGGGGUUUUUAAAACUACAACUAUUUUUUAAUUUAAUAUUUUUGUUUGUUUUCAGCUCUAGUUCCCCAUCAUUAAGUCCUCUGUUCAUUAGUGCCAAGUAAGCCAACAGUAGAGCCUGGAAAACUCCCUCAUCUGAAUGUAAUCUUUAAUCUCCAGUACAUCUAUCUCACCAUACUUACCACAGGAUAGUCCUGUGUUGCCACCACACUUCCUCACAGUAGAAACAUGGCUACACUAAAGAAAGUGACACUUCGUCCCUCCAAGACGACUUGGAGAAGCCUCUCUGACUU
rnacentral:lncRNA from 1 species